rnacentral:lncRNA from 10 species
ACCCACCCCGCCCUCCCAGCGGCGCGCGCCCGCCGAGGUAGGUGUCAGAGAGCCGAAUUCGAAUUAUUUGCGACGCCCGGACGGAGUUUCGUAUCUUCGGACGAGAAAAGUGCGAUGGGAGUGCAAAGCCUCCCCUGCUCGAAGCAGCAGGCGCGCCGGUGUCACGGGAGCCGAGGAGCGGUGGCCGUGGCUGUGGAGUCGGUGCUCGAGGCGUCCUCCCAGAAGACUUGAAGUCAAUUACUGAAGAAUUAACUACAUGGCCAUAUGACAUUUUCCUAUUUAUUAUCCAUCAACUCAUUUUAAAAUGAUCUGUUUUUAAUUCAGAACAUACUCUAAUUCAAACAGAAUGUGGACGUACAUUGGCCAGUGUAUUUGGACCCAAUUUCUUGAGCCAGUGGCUUUGAGAUGCUGUUCAAACAUCUACUUAAAAGCAUGGCACAUAAUAUGAGGGCAAAGAGGACGUUUUGCAGCCCUUCUUGAUCUUUCCUGACUCUCUGAUGGGGAGGCACCAUCUGUGAGAGAGGCUUCCUGGUCUCUGUGGACAGACGCCCAAUUCCCCAGGCCAUCAGUGCCUUUCUCACCACAUCCCCAUGAGCCCCAGCGUGGGCAGGAAUGGACUUUUAACAAAACCACCAUCUACCUCAAGAAGGGGGAAGCUAACAAAAAGAGAUGACAUGUAUUACUUUGUUCCUUUUAGAAGCCUAAAUGAUAUGAUGCACAUGUUACCCUUCAUUGAAGAUUCUAGGUGGACACACAACUUGGAUAUCAACAGGGAGCAGAAAACAAACCCACUAGCAGGACCAAAAGGCAGACCCAUCAGCAGAACACAGGCGGCAGCUUCCACAAGUAACUCCAAAACUGAAAGUCAAAUCCAGGAGAAGACUGAGGAAGCUCCAUUUUCUUUGAGCACUUAAUUGUAAAUUAAGAUUUGCUGAUGAUGAUGGGCUAAUUUAAGCUACCGUGGAAAGAGGGAAGAAAUGGAAGCUGCUGAUCGUAGGAAGCAGUACCUGUACUGCGCAGGGUUGCAGUGACCUAACACCAAGAAAUAAAAACUCUGGAAAACUAGCCCUUCACAUAUGGAAGCUGAUGAAUGAAGCCCAGGACAUAGAAAGGCAGCUGACGGAA